GUAAAGAACAACUGAAAGGUCUGUCUAUAUAUUGUCAACUGUAUGCCAAUAAUUCCACCAGUCAGUAAAAACAGCAACACUAUUUUCAUAUACCAGUUUGCUUUAAUUUUAAAUUCAGCUCAUUGCAACAAAAAAUGGCCCCUAUAUCUGAGAGGCCUUGACCAUCAGACUUCUCAUCUGUAGGAGAUUUCCUUUAAGAUCUCAUAUUGGCAUAUAAGAAAAAUAUUCUAUUUCAUUGCGAAGAUGACUUGCAUCAGAGUUUUAUCGAAAUUAUUUAUUGCCAUUAUUUUGAUUAAAACUUUUUGACAGUACAUACUUAGUUGGGACAGAUUUUACUGUCCAAAAUCAUUUUACUGAUAAUAAAAUUACAUCUGUCACAUUCAUUAUUUAUGUUGUAUGCAUUAUCUGCAGUUGUUGAUGCCACUUUCAAGCAAGUAUAAUGAAGUACGAAAAAAAAAAAAAACUUGACUGCCACAAUGUGGAGGAAAACAGACAAUGGAGUUUUAUCCUUCAGAUCUUACCCUGACAAGGCUCCCACUGAAGUAAAGGGAAGUUUUUUUGCCUGAAUAAGGACUGGAACCAUCUUCAGAGGCCCAAGUGUACAAAAGGAAUAUGUUUAACAAAAUUAUAAAAAUCCACAACAUUCCAAGCUUCUUAAAUAUGCAUGUUUGUAACCCUGUUACCCUCCUUCAGUUUACAAGAAAUUCUUGCUUCUCUCAAGGUGAUUCUAGGGACCAGAAAUUAUGUUUAAAAAAAAAAGUAAGUAACUUGUAAGGCAGCAAAGAGUUAGAUGUAAUUGUUUACAUUCGGAAGAGUACUUUACAAAAAAGGCAGGCUACAAAAUUUAGUGGAAGGAUGAUGUGUUUUGUGUUGGCAAGAUCUUGCAUUCAUGAAGAAUUUUAUGAUGAGAAGAAAAUGCAGAAGUCUGCAUCACAGGAGCUGUAGAGCUCUUCCUUUGUUGGAAUUCAUGAUGAGGGCCACAUUCCCUGUUUUUCCAAGAUAAAGAUAUUUAGUUCUUCUUUUCCAUCCUACCAAGAAAAACAGGAGAAUUCAGUGAAGGUCUUAGUAUUUAUAUAUAAUUAUUGACUAAGACUUGAACAUACUGUGAAAAAUCAAAGGCUGGGUAUGAAAGACUUACUAAAU
rnacentral:lncRNA from 1 species